rnacentral:rRNA from 1 species
UACCUGGUUGAUCCUGCCAGUAAUCAUAUGCUUGUCUCAAAGAUUAAGCCAUGCAUGUCUAAGUACAUGCCGAAAUAAGGCGAAACCGCGAAUGGCUCAUUAAAUCAGUUAUGGUUCCUUAGAUCGUUUCUUCCUACUUGGAUAACUGUGGCAAUUCUAGAGCUAAUACAUGCAGUGAGCCUGAAGCCCUUUGGGCGACGGGUGCUUUUAUUAGACCAAGAUCGAUCGGGUUUCGGCCCGUAUUGUGUGGUGACUCUGGAUAACUUUGUGCUGAUCGCAUGGCCACGAGCCGGCGACGUUUCUUUCAAGUGUCUGCCUUAUCAACUUUCGAUGGUAGGUUACUUGCUUACCAUGGUUGAUCUGUCUCGCGUGUGUCAGGGUUCGAUUCCGGAGAGGGAGCCUGAGAAACGGCUACCACAUCCAAGGAAGGCAGCAGGCGCGCAAAUUACCCCACUCCCGGCACGGGGAGGUAGUGACGAAAAAUAACAAUACGGGACUCUUUUGAGGCCCCGUAAUUGAAAUGAGUACACUCUAAAUCCUUUAACGAGGAUCAAUUGGAGGGCAAGUCUGGUGCCAGCAGCCCGCGGUAAUUCCAGCUCCAAUAGCGUAUACUAAAGCUGCUGCGGUUAAAAAGCUCGUAGUUGGAUCUCAGUUCCAGACGAGUAGUGCAUCUACCCGAUGCGACGGCUCGGACCUGAACAUCAUGCCGGUCCUUUCUUGGUGCACUUCAUUGUGUGCCUCGAGAAGGCCGGUGCUUUUACUUUGAAAAAAUUAGAGUGCUCAACGCAGGCGAGUCGCCUGAAUAAACUUGCAUGGAAUAAUAGAACAAGACCUCGUUUCUGUUCUGUUGGUUUUUGGAAUACGAGGUAAUGAUUAAGAGGGACAGACGGGGGCAUUCGUAUUGCGGCGCUAGAGGUGAAAUUCUUGGACCGUCGCAAGACGAACUACUGCGAAAGCAUUUGCCAAGAAUGUUUUCUUUGAUCAAGAACGAAAGUCAGAGGUUCGAAGGCGAUCAGAUACCGCCCUAGUUCUGACCAUAAACGAUGCCAACCAGCGAUCCGCCUGAGUUACUCAAAUGACUCGGCGGGCAGCUUCCGGGAAACCAAAGUGUUUGGGUUCCGGGGGAAGUAUGGUUGCAAAGCUGAAACUUAAAGGAAUUGACGGAAGGGCACCACCAGGAGUGGAGCCUGCGGCUUAAUUUGACUCAACACGGGAAAACUUACCCGGCCCGGACACUGGGAGGAUUGACAGAUUGAGAGCUCUUUCUUGAUUCGGUGGAUGGUGUGCAUGGCCGUUCUUAGUUGGUGGAGCGAUUGGUCUGGUUAAUUCCGAUAACGAACGAGACUCUAGCCUAUUAAAUAGGUGCGGGGUUCCCAGCACCUUACAACCUUCUUAGAGGGACAAGCGGCUCCUAGCCGCACGAAACAGAGCAAUAACAGGUCUGUGAUGCCCUUAGAUGUCCGGGGCCGCACGCGCGCUACACUGAAGGAAGCAGCGUGUCUUUAUCCCUGUCUGAAAAGACUGGGUAACCCGUGGAACUUCUUCGUGAUUGGGAUAGGGGCUUGCAAUUGUUCCCCUUGAACGAGGAAUUCCCAGUAAGCGCGAGUCAUAAGCUCGCGUUGAUCUACGUCCCUGCCCUUUGUACACAACCGCCCGUCGCUACUACCGAUUGAAUGAUUUAGUGAGGUCUUCGGACCGAUGUCCGGCGCGGCCUUUCGGUUGCGCCGGUCUGUUGGAAAGAUGACCAAACUUGAUCAUUUAGAGGAAGUAAAAGUCGUAACAAGGUUUCCGUAGGUGAACCUGCGGAAGGAUCAUUA